UACGUAGGGUGCAAGCGUUAUCCGGAAUUAUUGGGCGUAAAGAGCUUGUAGGCGGUUUGUCGCGUCUGCUGUGAAAUUUCGGGGCUCAACCCCGAACUUGCAGUGGGUACGGGCAGACUAGAGUGUGGUAGGGGAGACUGGAAUUCCGUGGUGUAGCGGUGAAAUGCGCAGAUAUCAGGAGGAACACCGAUGGCGAAGGCAGGUCUCUGGGCCACUACUGACGCUGAGAAGCGAAAGCAUGGGGAGCGAACAGG
rnacentral:rRNA from 1 species